rnacentral:rRNA from 1 species
AUUGAACGCUGGCGGCAGGCCUAACACAUGCAAGUCGAGCGGAUGAAGGGAGCUUGCUCCUGGAUUCAGCGGCGGACGGGUGAGUAAUGCCUAGGAAUCUGCCUGGUAGUGGGGGAUAACGUCCGGAAACGGGCGCUAAUACCGCAUACGUCCUGAGGGAGAAAGUGGGGGAUCUUCGGACCUCACGCUAUCAGAUGAGCCUAGGUCGGAUUAGCUAGUUGGUGGGGUAAAGGCCUACCAAGGCGACGAUCCGUAACUGGUCUGAGAGGAUGAUCAGUCACACUGGAACUGAGACACGGUCCAGACUCCUACGGGAGGCAGCAGUGGGGAAUAUUGGGCAAUGGGCGAAAGCCUGAUCCAGCCAUGCCGCGUGUGUGAAGAAGGUCUUCGGGUUGUAAAGCACUUUAAGUUGGGAGGAAGGGCAGUAAGUUAAUACCUUGCUGUUUUGACGUUACCAACAGAAUAAGCACCGGCUAACUUCGUG